AAAGGGAGACCUAAUUCAGGUAGGAGACGAAAAAAAAGUAGUCGCUACCAAGAAUCAAUCCCAAAAGGUCGGAGCGAGGUAUGAGGCUUUCAAACUAGGUUCUGGGUUCAUACAAGACCUGAAUCAGGAACAAGGGCUAUUAGCUCAGGUGGUUAGAGCGCACCCCUGAUAAGGGUGAGGUCCCUGGUUCGAGUCCAGGAUGGCCCACCUGCACAGGUGGCAAAAACAAAGAAGCUCCGAAUCAGCACCUUAUCUUACUUAUAUAGUAAGAGAGAAUGCUGGCUCUGAGUUCAGAGUCCAGAGGAACCUUGAAAACUGCAUAGAGCUAGGUGAAAAAGCCAAAAAAGAAGACCGCAAG
rnacentral:tRNA from 1 species